GGCCUUUCUUUGGCUUACAGAUGAGCACCUUUUGCUGCCUCUUCAUAUGGUUGUCUCUGUGGGCAUGAGUGUCCCUGGGCUCUCUCUGUGCAUCCUAAUCGCAUCUUAAUAUGAGGACACCUGUUGGAUUACAAUAGGGCCACUCUAUUAAAACAGCCUUAUUUUAACUUAGUUACUUCUUUAAAGACUCUGUCUCCAAAUACAGUCACAUUCAAAGGCAUUGGGAUUUAGGACUUUGACAUAUCAAUUUUGGGGGAGAUAAUGCAUCCUGUAACAGUACCUUAUCCACGAGUUCCUGUUGUGGCUCAGUGGUUAACGAAUCUGACCAGGGACCAUGAGGUUGCGGGUUCGAUCCCUGGCUAGGGGUCUAAUUGGAGCUGCAGCUGCAAGCCUACACCACAGCCACAGCAAUGCCAGAUCCGAGCUGUAUCUGUGACCUACACCACAGCUUACGGCAACACUGGAUCCUUAUCCCACUGAGCAAGGCCAGGAAUCAAACCUGCAACGUUAUAGUUCCUAGUCGGAUUAGUUUCCAUUGCACCGUGACGGGAACUCUUAUUUUUCCAUUUUAAAAAGUUUUAUUGAAAUAUAGUUGUAUGACAAUAUUGUGUUAAUUUCUGCUGUACAGAAAAGUGAUUCAGUUAUACAUACACACAUACCCAUUCUUUUUCAGGUUCUUUCCCUAUAUAGGUUAUCACAGAGUAUUGAGUAGAGUUCUCUGUGCUACACAGCAAGUCCAUGCUGGGCAUCCAUUCCAUAUACAAUAGUGUGUUUAUGCCAAUCCCAAACCCUCCACCUUUCCCCUUUGGUAACCAUAAGUUUGUUUUGAGGUCUGUGCAUCUGUUUCUGUUUUGUAAAUAAGUUCAUUUGUAUCAUUUUUUUAGAUUCCACAUGUAAGUGAUACCACAUGAUAUUUGUCUGACUUACUAAAAGAAUGAAAUUGGAACAUUCUCUAAUACCAUAUGCAAAAAUAAAUGCAAAAUGGUUUAAAGAUCUAAAUGGAAGGCUGGAUACUGUAAUAAUUUUGGAGGAAAAUAUAGGUAGAACACUCUUUGACAUAAAUCACAACAGUAUCUUUUUGGAUCCAUCUCCCAAAGUAAUGAAAAUAGAAACAAAAAUAAACAAAUGGGACCCAAUUAAACUUUAAUGUUUUUUACACAGCAAAGGAAACCAUACUAAAAAAAGAAAAAAGAAAAA
rnacentral:lncRNA from 1 species